AAUAAAUUGAGAUUUCACUUUUUUUAUCUACAUCAACAAUGAAUGAAAAAAAAAAAAGAGAGAGAGAGAGAAUUAAACAAAAUUAAAGAAGUCUUCGUAGUUGAACAUGGUAGAAGGCUUUACCACAUGAUGUUUCUACCCAGACCUUUCAUGCUUCUGUAUUCUUGUAGCCUGGUGCAGAACAUCACCUCCAGAACUCACACAGUUGUUACUGAAUAACACUUCACACCAUUUGGCAUCUUUGCCUGAUGUUGAUGGCAGUACCACCAUGAAAGGCGGCAUCCUGCUUCAUAGAGUAAGUAAAGGUACAGAGAAAAAAGUGACCUUCCCAUAUUCACAAAGAAGCUUUGCCAGAGGGCAUGCUGGCCCACAUCUUCCAUCUCAGCAUCCUAACUAUUAAUUCAUAUCCUCUUUUAUCCCUUCUGUCUCUAUAUGUUCUCCUGGUAAUGAACAAAUAGUAUUGCAGUAGAAAUCAGAGAACCAGAGGCCAAAUCCUGCAGCCUCUUUGUAGCUGACACAGAUAUUCCAUAUUGGCUUGCUGCCAUACUGGCUGAGGUAAAUGCUGUGGUAGGCAAGAGAGACUGGGGGAAAGCAGAAAAGGGAAGAGGGUUUUGAAUGCACCCAUAAGGAAACACAGCCACAGACUCCAAGGGACUGACCGUGCCCCGUGCAGAUAGGAAAGCACAGCUGCCACCAAGGAGAACUUGGCAUGGCAGCCCAGAAGCUUCCAGAAGGAACCAGGCUAGUGCCUAAAAACUUCCAGAAGGAACUGGCCUGGUGCCUGGAAACCCCCAGGAGGAGAUGGCUUUGUGGCCUAGGGGCCAAGGGGGAAGGCUAUAAAGGGGCUGAGUGCUGCUGUGGGGUCUGUCUCACAGAAUGCACUGAGGAGCUGCUGUGGGACAAGGCCUCCUCAAGGAUCCUGACCCCUCAGGACCUUGUGGCAUGCUAUUCCCAAUAAGAAGUAAACGGACUGUGGCUUGUAUAUGAUCAGUUGCUCCACUGGAUAACGAGCCUGAUGGAAGUUUUGGCCUGCAUCUCCCAAGGCAGUCACCGCACAGAUACAUUACUCAACCAAACAUCUUGUGAUUUCCUUGCCCUCCCAGGAUGAGGAAAGAAAAGAGUACCUCCAAAGAAAGAGUCCUGUCAUUUUGUAUCAUUUGUGGUCAAAAGUCAGGGAUCAGCCACACUAAUGAAAAACCUUCUGUCUUCAGCCUCUGGUAUGUUCACAACUCCUUUCCAGAUCCCAGACAGUUGGGAUUUUUCUAUGCAAAAAUCAUCUGAAGUUG
rnacentral:lncRNA from 1 species